rnacentral:rRNA from 1 species
GUGAGGAAUAUUGCGCAAUGCCCGAAAGGGUGACGCAGCGACGCCGCGUGGAGGAUGAAGGCCCUAUGGGUCGUAAACUCCUUUUGUGAGGGAAUAAUUUCCUGCUACAGGCAGGAUUGAAUGUACCUCAGGAAAAAGCAUCGGCUAACUACGUGCCAGCAGCCGCGGUAAUACGUAGGAUGCUAGCGUUGUCCGGAUUUACUGGGUGUAAAGGGAGCGCAGGCGGGUUGGUAAGUCGGUGGUGAAAUUUUCGGGCUUAACCCGAAAACUGCCAUCGAUACUGCUGAUCUUGAGUGCAGAAGAGGUUGAUGGAAUUCUAGGUGUAGCGGUGAAAUGCGUAGAUAUCUAGAAGAACACCGAUGGCGAAGGCAGUCAACUGGUCUGUUACUGACGCUCAUGCUCGAAAGCGUGGGGAUCAAACAGGAUUAGAAACCCUAGUAGUCC